GAUGAACGCUGGCGGCAUGCCUAAUACAUGCAAGUCGAACAAGAGGAAGGAAAGCUUGCUUUUCUGAAUCUAGUGGCGAACGGGUGAGUAACACGUAGGUAACCUGCCCAUGUGCCCGGGAUAACUUCUGGAAACGGAUGCUAAAACCGAUAGAUAGCAGACAAGCAUUUGACUGCUAUUAAAGUGGCUAAGGCCACGAACAUGGAUGGACCUGCGGUGCAUUAGCUAGUUGGUGAGGUAACGGCCCACCAAGGCGACGAUGCAUAGCCGGCCUGAGAGGGCGGACGGCCACAUUGGGACUGAGACACGGCCCAAACUCCUACGGGAGGCAGCAGUAGGGAAUUUUCGUCAAUGGGGGGAACCCUGAACGAGCAAUGCCGCGUGAGUGAGGAAGGUCUUCGGAUCGUAAAGCUCUGUUGUAAGAGAAAAACGACAUUCAUAGGGAAUGAUGAGUGAGUGAUGGUAUCUUACCAGAAAGUCACGGCUAACUACGUGCCAGCAGCCGCGGUAAGAC
rnacentral:rRNA from 1 species